UGCCAGCAGCGGGCACCCAUGGGGAUGGACCCAAGAGUGGAGGAUGACCCAGUAGGGUGAGUUGUGUAGCUAAUGUCACACACACAUAUAGAUAAUUGUUUUAGGUGUAUGGGAAAUAACUAAAUGUUUGUUUACAUUGUACAGAUGAAAGUUCAGCCCACUCACUGACACCAGUGACACAGUAUUGACCAGAUCUCCUGGAAGUGCCUCCUGACGCAGACCCAGUUGUUUGGUAGCCAGCCACCCAUGCACGUUGACACAGCCAGCACCGAGCACCCAGGGGGAUGGACCCAGGAGUGGAGGACGGCCCAAUAGGAUGAAAAUUCAUCCCACUCACUGUUGACACCAAUGAGGGAACAAGAGAGGCUAGGCAACCCCAUCUUUUGACAACGGUCACCACCAGUCUAUUUCUAAAAAUGUUAUUAUUAUAUAUCUGUUAUAUAACAAUGUAUUUGUGUAUGGAUUAUAUGGGACAUUUAAAUGUUUUUUAAACAAAUGCUUAUUUAUCCUUUCUAUCUGUAAAUAAACUUGAACAUAUAAGUUUACUGAGUGAAUGACAACCAAACUGCAUGAAUUACAUAAUCACAAAAUUCCAUUAUUCCAAAAGCGCCUAUGAGUGUAUGGCUACUUUAUGACAGCAUUUAGAUAUUUGUGAAGAUUAUAUUGUACAUUUUAAUGGGAUUAUGUCCAAAGAAGUGCUUAUUAAUCUUUUAGUUUCUAAAUAACCCCAAACAUUUGUAUUAGACUGUGUAACAACCCCUUCUACCACAUGAAUGGCCUGUCUCAAAUUCAAAAACGCCUAUAAUAUAUAACUGCUAUAUGAUAAUAUAUGUUUUUUUUAUAAGAUUAUAUUGGUCAUUUCAAUUGAAUGUGAUAAAAUAUAUGGUUUUUGAUCAUUUUAAUGUGAAAGUUGGCCUGAAUUUGUGUGUUAGGGUGUAUCAUAGCCCACUAUUCUCAUGAGUUACACAUCAAACACAAUAAAAUCGCCUAUAUUGUAAUGCACUAUAAUGGCAAUAUUUUUUUGGUGCCUUGGUGUAGAUAAUGAAAUUUGAUUUCAUUUGUUACAGAACAUAUGUGUUUACAAUCUUAGCCAACAAAAAGGCUUUAAUCUGUAUGUUUGGUAUUGUACAUACUCAUCUAUCAUUAAAAAAACAAAUCGGAUUUUUGUAUUUUUUCAUUAUUUUUACU